rnacentral:rRNA from 1 species
AUAUCAAUAAGCGGAGGAAAAGAAACCAACAGGGAUUGCCUCAGUAGCGGCGAGUGAAGCGGCAAAAGCUCAAAUUUGAAAUCUGGCGUCUUUGGCGUCCGAGUUGUAAUUUGAAGAAGGUAUCUUUGGGCCCGGCUCUUGUCUAUGUUCCUUGGAACAGGACGUCACAGAGGGUGAGAAUCCCGUGCGAUGAGAUGACCCGGGUCUGUGUAAAGUUCCUUCGACGAGUCGAGUUGUUUGGGAAUGCAGCUCUAAGUGGGUGGUAAAUUCCAUCUAAAGCUAAAUAUUGGCGAGAGACCGAUAGCGAACAAGUACAGUGAUGGAAAGAUGAAAAGAACUUUGAAAAGAGAGUGAAAAAGUACGUGAAAUUGUUGAAAGGGAAGGGCUUGAGAUCAGACUUGGUAUUUUGCAUGCUGCUCUCUCGGGGGCGGCCGCUGCGGUUUACCGGGCCAGCAUCGGUUUGGAGCGGCAGGAUAAUGGCGGAGGAAUGUGGCACGGCUUCUGCUGUGUGUUAUAGCCUCUGACGAUACUGCCAGCCUAGACCGAGGACUGCGGUUUUUACCUAGGAUGUUGGCAUAAUGAUCUUAAGUCGC